GGGCGGGAGGCUGCGGCGAGGAAGAGGAAAUCUCGGCAGGAACAAGGAGAGGGAAAGGGCCAGGGCUGGGGACGGCGACACAACCGGGACCUGCCGGGAGCCCCCGCCGUGGCACUGGGACCGGGGACCGGGACCGGGGACCAGGACCGGGCACCGGGAGCAGCCCCGGAACGGGCACCGGUUGGCGCGGGGCUCGGCGGGCAGGAGGCGGCCGGGAUGGAGAAGCUCCCACCAGGCGAGGAGGAGGAGGAGGAUGAAGAGGAUGAGGAGGAUGAGGAGGACAUGGCGGGGGACGCCGAGGCCAUCCUGCGCUACGAGGAGCGCAUCGCGGGGCUGGUGGCCACGGUAGCCCGGCUGCACCACCGAGCCCAGCAGCUGCAGCGCCGCACCGGCAGGUACCGGCACAUGGUGGCCACGGGGCUACCACCGCCCGGGCACCCCCAUCUCCGGCCUUCGCCGCCCCACAGGGAGGAUGAGGAAGGUUGGGAGGGCACCACCAGCCUCCCUGAUGCCAACCCGCAGCCCCGGCACCUCGACACCAGUAUGGAAGCCCACGGCCCCGACCUCUUUGCUGACCUGCAGCACGCCGUCAGCUCCCUGGAACGCACCGUCUUCUCCCGGCACCGGCGGGCACCGGCACAACCCCUGCCCGGUGAGGAGUGGGCACGGGCGGCCAAGAGCCUGGAGGAGCUGGACCGGGCACCACCGGGCUGGAGCGGGAGGGGGAUGCCCGGGGGUCCCGGGGAGGGAGCGGGCGAGGGGCUGCCGGCGGAGGAGGCGGCGAUGGCGGCGGCGGUGGCGAGGAACGCGGCACUGAGGGCGGCCUUGGGACGGCGGGACGAGGAGCUGAGCCGGGCUACGGCCUCCCUGGGGGGGCUACGGGGGGAGCGGGACCGGCUGGAGCAGAAGGUGGGUGAUGGGGACACGGGGAGGGGAGGGGGACAUUGCCCAGGUCACCCCCCCC
rnacentral:lncRNA from 1 species